CUCUAUACAGGAUAGCUUGCUAGUUUAUUAUAAGAAGAAGUCAUCAAUUUUAAGCUCAAUAAAUCACUUGUCAAACUUUAGCUUAAAAAGAAGAAUUUAAAUGAAAAUGCUUUCUGCAAAUUAUCUAUUAAAUACUAAAACACAUUCUGCUGUUUAUUAAACAAGAUAAAGCUUCAAUCAAGUAUAUAAAAUAAAAAGGAUUUUGAUGAAAAACAUAUAAAAAGGUUUUGACUUUAAAAACUACAAAUCUAAUGUAGGAUACGAUGAAGAAUUAAGAGAUACUAACGAUAUUCGAAAUCAACAGGAUUUAAACAACGUCAACACUGGUCUUUAGUACAUCUUUAAUGCGGUUUCAUCAAAAUCUUCAGAAUUGUUCCGGUCAUACAAUAGGCCCCCAAAGGAUUUUAAUUGCUGCCAAACAUUAGACAACUCAAUUUAUCAGCGAUCUAUUAACAAAUGAUAUCCUUCGUUGGAGUAAAACAUGCAAUAACCCCCAUCCUGAGAAGAAGAGGGCACAAUUAAGCUGGCAAAUACUACAAUAUAAUAUAUCUUUUU